UGGGGAAUAUUGGACAAUGGGGGAAACCCUGAUCCAGCAAUGCCGCGUGAGUGAUGAAGGCCUUAGGGUUGUAAAGCUCUUUCAGAAGUGAAGAUGAUGACGGUAACUUCAGAAGAAGCUCCGGCUAACUCCGUGCCAGCAGCCGCGGUAAUACGGAGGGAGCUAGCGUUGUUCGGAAUUACUGGGCGUAAAGGGCGUGUAGGCUGUAUGUUUAGUCAGAGGUGAAAUCCCUAAGCUCAACUUAGGAACUGCCUUUGAUACUGACACACUAGAGAUCGAGAGAAGUUAGCGGAAUUCCAAGUGUAGAGGUGAAAUUCGUAGAUAUUUGGAAGAACACCUGUGGCGAAAGCGGCUAACUGGCUCGUUUCUGACGCUGAGACGCGAAAGCGUGGGUAGCAAACAGG
rnacentral:rRNA from 1 species